AUGAACGCUAGCUACAGGCUUAACACAUGCAAGUCGAGGGGCAGCAUGGUCUUAGCUUGCUAAGGCCGAUGGCGACCGGCGCACGGGUGAGUAACACGUAUCCAACCUGCCGUCUACUCUUGGACAGCCUUCUGAAAGGAAGAUUAAUACAAGAUGGCAUCAUGAGUCCGCAUGUUCACAUGAUUAAAGGUAUUCCGGUAGACGAUGGGGAUGCGUUCCAUUAGAUAGUAGGCGGGGUAACGGCCCACCUAGUCUUCGAUGGAUAGGGGUUCUGAGAGGAAGGUCCCCCACAUUGGAACUGAGACACGGUCCAAACUCCUACGGGAGGCAGCAGUGAGGAAUAUUGGUCAAUGGGCGAGAGCCUGAACCAGCCAAGUAGCGUGAAGGAUGACUGCCCUAUGGGUUGUAAACUUCUUUUAUAAAGGAAUAAAGUCGGGUAUGGAUACCCGUUUGCAUGUACUUUAUGAAUAAGGAUCGGCUAACUCCGUGCCAGCAGCCGCGGUAAUACGGAGGAUCCGAGCGUUAUCCGGAUUUAUUGGGUUUAAAGGGAGCGUAGAUGGAUGUUUAAGUCAGUUGUGAAAGUUUGCGGCUCAACCGUAAAAUUGCAGUUGAUACUGGAUAUCUUGAGUGCAGUUGAGGCAGGCGGAAUUCGUGGUGUAGCGGUGAAAUGCUUAGAUAUCACGAAGAACUCCGAUUGCGAAGGCAGCCUGCUAAGCUGCAACUGACAUUGAGGCUCGAAAGUGUGGGUAUCAAACAGGAUUAGAUACCCUGGUAGUCCACACGGUAAACGAUGAAUACUCGCUGUUUGCGAUAUACGGCAAGCGGCCAAGCGAAAGCGUUAAGUAUUCCACCUGGGGAGUACGUUCGCAAGAAUGAAACUCAAAGGAAUUGACGGGGACCCGCACAAGCGGUGGAGCAUGUGGUUUAAUUCGAAGCAACGCGAAGAACCUUACCAAGUCUUGACAUCCCGAUGACCAAGUAUGUAAUGUACUCUCUCUUCGGAGCAUCGGUGACAGGUGGUGCAUGGUUGUCGUCAGCUCGUGUCGUGAGAUGUUGGGUUAAGUCCCGCAACGAGCGCAACCCUUGUUGUCAGUUACUAACAGGUUCUGCUGAGGACUCUGACAAGACUGCCAUCGUAAGAUGUGAGGAAGGUGGGGAUGACGUCAAAUCAGCACGGCCCUUACGUCCGGGGCUACACACGUGUUACAAUGGGGGGUACAGAGGGCCGCUACCACGCGAGUGGAUGCCAAUCCCAAAAACCUCUCUCAGUUCGGACUGGAGUCUGCAACCCGACUCCACGAAGCUGGAUUCGCUAGUAAUCGCGCAUCAGCCACGGCGCGGUGAAUACGUUCCCGGGCCUUGUACACACCGCCCGUCAAGCCAUGGGAGCCGGGGGUACCUGAAGUGCGUAACCGCGAGGAGCGCCCUAGGGUAAAACUGGUGACUGGGGCU
rnacentral:rRNA from 1 species